UGAAGUAAAACGAGUAUAACACCUUACUCAGAUGUUGGAUUUGGAUGAAACCAAUUGAAUUGGAAAGAAGACUCAGAGAUCUUUCUUUUGAUAUGUGGUAGCUCUCCCAGUUCAUUAUAUUGAGGGAGUUAUGAUCGUUCAAAGUUGACCCAAAAAACUGGCAGGCCUCAGUAGUUUUCCUGCACAUUUACUGUUCACAUCCCGGC
rnacentral:lncRNA from 1 species